UACGAAGGGGGCUAGCGUUGUUCGGAAUUACUGGGCGUAAAGCGUGCGCAGGCGGCUGCUCAAGUCAGGGGUGAAAGCCCAGAGCUCAACUCUGGAACUGCCUUUGAGACUGAGUGGCUUGAGUACGGGAGAGGUGAGUGGAAUUCCCAGUGUAGAGGUGAAAUUCGUAGAUAUUGGGAAGAACACCGGUGGCGAAGGCGGCUCACUGGCCCGUAACUGACGCUGAGGAGCGAAAGCGUGGGGAGCAAACAGG
rnacentral:rRNA from 1 species